rnacentral:rRNA from 1 species
UACGUAGGGUGCGAGCGUUGUCCGGAAUUAUUGGGCGGAAAGAGCUCGUAGGCGGCUUGUUGCGUCGGAUGUGAAAGCCCGGGGCUUAACUCCGGGUCUGCAUUCGAUACGGGCAGGCUAGAGUUCGGUAGGGGAGAUCGGAAUUCCUGGUGUAGCGGUGAAAUGCGCAGAUAUCAGGAGGAACACCCGUGGCGAAAGCGGCUCUCUGGGACGGUACUGACGCUGAGACGCGAAAGCGUGGGGAGCAAACAGG